rnacentral:rRNA from 1 species
UACGUAGGGGGCGAACGUUAUCCGGAUUUAUUGGGCGUAAAGGAUGCGUAGGCGGCUUGAUAAGUUAUCAGUGGGAAAUCGAGGCUCAACCUCGUGGAAGUUGAUAAUACUGUCCAGCUUGAGUGCAGGAGAGGUUAACGGAACUCCAUGUGGAGCGGUAAAAUGUGACGAUAUAUGGAAGAACACCAAUAAGGCGAAGGCAGUUAACUAUUCUGUUACUGACGUUGAGGCAUGAAGGCGUGGGGAGCAAAACGG